rfam:Gilliamella sp. R-53248 genome assembly, contig: Ga0061081_110
UAGCACGCCAAACAGGGAUGUUUGGCGAGUUUGUGCUGCGUCUGGAACGCAUCACAAACGGUGCGUCAAGA